rnacentral:rRNA from 1 species
UACGUAGGUGACAAGCGUUGUCCGGAUUUACUGGUCGUAAAGAGCGCGCAGGCGGUCGUUCAAGUCGGGUGUGAAAGCCCCCGGCUCAACUGGGGAGGGUCACUCGAUACUGAUCGACUUGAAGGCAGGAGAGGGAAGCGGAAUUCCCGGUGUAGUGGUGAAAUGCGUAGAUAUCGGGAGGAACGCCAGUGGCGAAGGCGGCGUCCUGGCCUGCUCUUGACGCUGAGGCGCGAAAGCUAGGGUAGCAAACGGG